AGUGAACGCUGGCGGCGUGGCUCAGACAUGCAAGUCGAGCGAGACCUCCCUUUCGGGGGAGUAAAAGCGGCAAACGGGUGCGUAACACGUAAGCAACCUACCCUUUAGUCUGGGAUAGCCUACCGAAAGGUGGAUUAAUACCGGAUGUGGUCUUCUCUCACAUGUGAGAAGUACUAAAGCUUGUAAUGGCGCUAAAGGAGGGGCUUGCGGUCUAUCAGCUUGUUGGUGAGGUAGUGGCUCACCAAGGCUAAGACGGAUAGCUGGUCUGAGAGGAUGAUCAGCCACACUGGAACUUAGACACGGUCCAG
rnacentral:rRNA from 1 species